AUUGAACGCUGGCGGCAGGCCUAACACAUGCAAGUCGAACGGUAACAGGAAGCAGCUUGCUGCUUCGCUGACGAGUGGCGGACGGGUGAGUAAUGUCUGGGAAACUGCCUGAUGGAGGGGGAUAACUACUGGAAACGGUGGCUAAUACCGCAUAACGUCGCAAGACCAAAGAGGGGGACCUUCGGGCCUCUUGCCAUCAGAUGUGCCCAGAUGGGAUUAGCUUGUUGGUGAGGUAACGGCUCACCAAGGCGACGAUCCCUAGCUGGUCUGAGAGGAUGACCAGCCACACUGGAACUGAGACACGGUCCAGACUCCUACGGGAGGCAGCAGUGGGGAAUAUUGCACAAUGGGCGCAAGCCUGAUGCAGCCAUGCCGCGUGUAUGAAGAAGGCCUUCGGGUUGUAAAGUACUUUCAGCGGGGAGGAAGGUGUUGUGGUUAAUAACCGCAGCAAUUGACGUUACCCGCAGAAGAAGCACCGGCUAACUCCGUGCCAGCAGCCGCGGUAAUACGGAGGGUGCAAGCGUUUAUCGGAAUUACUGGGCGUAAAGCGCACGCAGGCGGUCUGUCAAGUCGGACGUGAAAUCCCCGGGCUCAACCUGGGAACUGCAUUCGAAACUGGCAGGCUUGAGUCUUGUAGAGGGGGGUAGAAUUCCAGGUGUAGCGGUGAAAUGCGUAGAGAUCUGGAGGAAUACCGGUGGCGAAGGCGGCCCCCUGGACAAAGACUGACGCUCAGGUGCGAAAGCGUGGGGAGCAAACAGGAUUAGAUACCCUGGUAGUCCACGCCGUAAACGAUGUCUACUUGGAGGUUGUGCCCUUGAGGCGUGGCUUCCGGAGCUAACGCGUUAAGUAGACCGCCUGGGGAGUACGGCCGCAAGGUUAAAACUCAAAUGAAUUGACGGGGGCCCGCACAAGCGGUGGAGCAUGUGGUUUAAUUCGAUGCAACGCGAAGAACCUUACCUGGUCUUGACAUCCACAGAACUUUCCAGAGAUGGAUUGGUGCCUUCGGGAACUGUGAGACAGGUGCUGCAUGGCUGUCGUCAGCUCGUGUUGUGAAAUGUUGGGUUAAGUCCCGCAACGAGCGCAACCCUUAUCCUUUGUUGCCAGCGAUUAGGUCGGGAACUCAAAGGAGACUGCCAGUGAUAAACUGGAGGAAGGUGGGGAUGACGUCAAGUCAUCAUGGCCCUUACGACCAGGGCUACACACGUGCUACAAUGGCGCAUACAAAGAGAAGCGACCUCGCGAGAGCAAGCGGACCUCAUAAAGUGCGUCGUAGUCCGGAUUGGAGUCUGCAACUCGACUCCAUGAAGUCGGAAUCGCUAGUAAUCGUGGAUCAGAAUGCCACGGUGAAUACGUUCCCGGGCCUUGUACACACCGCCCGUCACACCAUGGGAGUGGGUUGCAAAAGAAGUAGGUAGCUUAACCUUCGGGAGGGCGCUUACCACUUUGUGAUUCAUGACUGGGGUGAAGUCGUAACAAGGUAACC
rnacentral:rRNA from 1 species